CCCGAGUAGGCAGUUGUGGUCCACAGGCCACUGGCAAACAGAGGCAGAGCCACAGAGGGGCUGCUCGUCCCCAAAUGUCUCUCCAGCCGCUCUGAAGCUGCUGCGGGCUGCUGUGCUGGUGAUGGCUGAGAUCAUGAGAUGAGCCCCGGGGGUCCCUGGGCAUCCCUGGGAGGUCCAUGGAGAAGGUGGAACACUGGACUAAAGAGACAGGCUGAGGAAGCCCUCAAGUCACCCCUGAUGGAGGCCAGACCUUGAAUGUUACAAUCCCUCUGCUUAUCGACCCUUAAUAAAAAUCUGAGCAGGUCUUCUCUGCAGGACACAGGAGGCUUUCUGGAAAAAAAAACAUGGAAAAGUGAGUCUCCUAAGCGUUCCCAAGUGAUUGAUGCAGGACACAUCUUAAAAGGAUGAAAGGAGGAUGGAGGAAAACUUCAGAAGGAAAUAACACAGUUUGAAUGAAAACACCUAUUUUGCAGAAAGUCCGGAAGUGCUCGACCAAGAGAUCGCGAGAUGGGAGCAGAGAGUACAGGAAAGGAAGGAGGAGAAAGAAAGGCUGGAAACCUUUGAAUGCACAAAAAAAACAGGUCAUGAAAGAUACCACGAGCCAACUAAAAUCUCUGGCUGAAAAUGUGCUGGACACCAUGCAGUUGGAAGAUUUCACUAGGGACCGCAGUGAUGAGGGGAACUUGGAAGCAGAGCUAAAGAGGAAAGCAGAAAAUGAAGAAACCACCCCCUUAAAAAUUAAGUAAAUUUUUUUAAAGUUAUGUGCAUACAUUCUGUAUAUACAGAAAAGAUAUCUAAAUUGUAUGCACGCAGAAGGAGCAUUGCCCCCACAAGGAACAGUUCAUGCUAAAUGGUGCAGAUGAAGAGACUUUGACAAAGGAAGUUUCCUGAGCUGUGGGCAGGGAUGAGAGCUCAGACAAAUGAUGGGAAGCCUCCCAGAUGCCAAGGUUUCCCACCCCCAGGUUUCAAGGGAGGAGAGAGGAAGUGAUGUCAUCUGAGCCCAGUGAGGCCCUGUCAAGGGACCAGGGAAAACUGCCCCCACUUUUUGCUCCCAUCCUCUCAUUGACUGCAGGUGCACAGGCAGCUGCCUGAAAGAGGGCCUGCGAAGUGCAAGCCAGAGGAGUUGGCCUCCAUGGCACAGAGCAGGCAGAAAACAAAUUUGGAGAAUGACCAGCACUCUUGGGUUUAUUUGACUGAAAGUGCUUGUUUUAUUGCAUUCACUCACAUCCAUUUAUU
rnacentral:lncRNA from 10 species